rnacentral:rRNA from 1 species
UGGGGAAUAUUGCACAAUGGGCGCAAGCCUGAUGCAGCCAUGCCGCGUGUGUGGAGAAGGCCUUCGGGUUGUAAAGCACUUUCAGCGGGGAGGAAGGCGUUAAGGUUAAUAACCUUGGCGAUUGACGUUACCCGCAGAAGAAGCACCGGCUAACUCCGUGCCAGCAGCCGCGGUAAUACGGAGGGUGCAAGCGUUAAUCGGAAUUACUGGGCGUAAAGCGCACGCAGGCGGUCUGUCAAGUCGGAUGUGAAAUCCCCGGGCUCAACCUGGGAACUGCAUUCGAAACUGGCAGGCUAGAGUCUUGUAGAGGGGGGUAGAAUUCCAGGUGUAGCGGUGAAAUGCGUAGAGAUCUGGAGGAAUACCGGUGGCGAAGGCGGCCCCCUGGACAAAGACUGACGCUCAGGUGCGAAAGCGUGGGGAGCAAACAGG